rnacentral:rRNA from 1 species
UACGUAGGGCGCAAGCGUUGUCCGGAAUUAUUGGGCGUAAAGAGCUCGUAGGCGGUUCGUUGCGUCUGCCGUGAAAACCCGAGGCUUAACCUCGGGCCUGCGGUGGAUACGGGCGGACUAGAGGUAGGUAGGGGAGAAUGGAAUUCCCGGUGUAGCGGUGAAAUGCGCAGAUAUCGGGAGGAACACCGAUGGCGAAGGCGGUUGCCUGGAGCUUUGCUGACGCUGAUGCGCGAAAGCGUGGGGAGCGAUCCGG